rnacentral:rRNA from 1 species
CCUACGGGAGGCAGCAGUGAGGAAUAUUGGUCAAUGGUCGGGAGACUGAACCAGCCAAGCCGCGUGAGGGAUGAAGGUACAGAGUAUCGUAAACCUCUUUUGUCAGGGAACAAAGGCGGGGACGUGUCCCCGGAUGAGUGUACCUGAAGAAAAAGCAUCGGCUAACUCCGUGCCAGCAGCCGCGGUAAUACGGAGGAUGCGAGCGUUAUCCGGAUUUAUUGGGUUUAAAGGGUGCGCAGGCGGUCUGUUAAGUCAGCGGUCAAAGCCCGGGGUUCAACCCCGGCCCGCCGUUGAAACUGGCAGUCUAGAGUUGGAGAGAAGUAUGCGGAAUGCGCGGUGUAGCGGUGAAAUGCAUAGAUAUCGCGCAGAACUCCGAUUGCGAAGGCAGCAUGCCGGCUCCACACUGACGCUGAGGCACGAAAGCGUGGGUAUCGAACAGGAUUAGAUACCCGGGUAGUC